rnacentral:snRNA from 1 species
UUUCUUGCCUGUGCAGGAUAGACCGGUGAUCAACAAGGCCGGCAUGUCCCAGGUAGCGUCGCCAUUGCACUAAGGCCUGGCGCUGCCUGCCUCUGCCUAAAUAAGUGCAGAGACGAGCACUCAAUUUUUUGGUCGGACGCGCCAGAAGGCCGUCCA